rnacentral:rRNA from 1 species
GAUUCUGGCUCAGAACGAACGCUGGCGGCGCGUUUAAGCAUGCAAGUCGAGCGGCAAGGGCCUUCGGGCCCCUAGAGCGGCGGACGGGUGAGUAACACGUGGACAAUCUGCCCCCCGGCCCGGGAUAGCCCAGGGAAACCUGGAUUAAUACCGGAUGAGACGGGACCCGCGAUGGCGGGAUCCGGGAAAGGCGCUGCGGCGCCGCCGGGGGAUGAGUCUGCGUCCCAUUAGCUAGACGGCGGGGUAACGGCCCACCGUGGCGACGAUGGGUAGCCGGCCUGAGAGGGUGGACGGCCACAUUGGAACUGAGACACGGUCCAGACUCCUACGGGAGGCAGCAGCUAAGAAUCUUCCGCAAUGGGCGAAAGCCUGACGGAGCCGACGCCGCGUGAACGAAGAAGGCCGUGAGGUUGUAAAGUUCUUUUCGGGAGGGGGAACAACCGUGGCAGGGAAUGGCCGCGGGAUGACGUGAAUCCCGGAAUAAGCCCCGGCUAACUACGUGCCAGCCGCGGC